ensembl:lncRNA
CUUGCAAUAUGCACCUUUCAGUUUAAUUUCCAUCUGGGUGAACAAGAAGUCAGCUGCCUGGAGCUGAGGCAUAUUUACUGUGGACACAGAUAAUGAAAAGUUAAUCUGCUUACAGAACCUUGGCAACACCAAAAAAAAAAAAAAAAAAAAAAACCAAUGUCUCUUUUAAGAUGCUGAAGAUUACCUAAAAAGCCUGUCAGCAGAACCAUGACAUGCGUAGAUGUGGUGCCUGAUGCUCCCUGGCUGAGGAUUCUUUCUGACGAAAUACAAGCUACCCACCUGUGACUAAAGCUUCUUCCAAUGUAUACAGACUCUGAUGAAGAAAAAUGAUAGGUUUAUGGAAGGAAAGAACAUUUCCGUCAACAAGCAAACAAAGGAAAAGAAAAAUGGGAGAGAGAAAAGAUAGGUUGGAAAGUGUACUUUAUAAUCCAGUUUGGGCCUGGUAGAGCCUCAAUUACAAGCUUUUACUGUAUCAUCCAUUGCUCUGUCAUGGGUCAAAGUUUUAUUUGCAAUUUUUGUGAAUAAUAAACCCUCAUUUUUUUCAGUCACAAUUUAUGAGGCAAAGUGCUAGAUUCCGGGAUUAUAAAAUGGAAUAAGGGUGACGGCAUAAGGACAUAUAGUUUCAGUGCAGUAAGGGAAGUGUGGUAAGGCAGAUAUUUGUGGAUUAUUCGGGGAGCAAUAAGAAACUGUAUCUAACACAUCCUGGAGAAGAAUAGCAAAGACAGAUUCAGGAAUAACUUCUGAGCAGAUAAAUGCCUGAGCUGAGUACUAAAGCAUAAGACUGUAUGGGUAGAAGUGGAACACAUGAUCUUUGCUCACGGAACACCAUGAAGGGGAGUGUAAAGAAGCCCCUAGUGUACCGGGAGUGCCAAGCCUCUCCUUGUCACUGUGGUCAGCUUCUCUCCACUCUGUAAGAUACACCUCAAACCCAUCCGCUCUGGGACAUCGUCUCUAACCAGCUUUACAUAAUCAAACCUCAUUACCACAGCACCCUAUUUACUUCUUUAGUGGUAUUUAUUACAAUCUUUAAUUAUGUUAAUUCACAUGUUCAGCGUUUUGCUUCUUUUUUCCCCUCACCACAAUCUAAACUCUACCAGAUACUCUCCCAUCAGCGCAUUUUUCUAAAGUUUUUCAUUAGUGAAAUAGCUGCAGUGAUUUUAAUGAUACUUUCUGGGAAGAUUCAACCUUAUUCUUCUUUGUAUUUCAG